rnacentral:rRNA from 1 species
UACGUAGGUGGCGAGCGUUGUCCGGAUUUACUGGGCGUAAAGAGCGCGCAGGCGGCUGGUCAAGUCCGAUGUGAAAGCUCCCGGCUUAACUGGGAAAUUGCAUCGGAAACUGAUCGGCUGGAAGGUGGGAGAGGGUAGCGGAAUUCCCGGUGUAGUGGUGAAAUGCGUAGAUAUCGGGAGGAACACCAGUGGCGAAGGCGGGUCUCUGGGCCGAUACUGACGCUGAGGCGCGAAAGCUAGGGGAGCAAACGGG